rnacentral:rRNA from 1 species
GACAGAGGGUGCAAACGUUGUUCGGAAUUACUGGGCCUAAAGCGCGUGUAGGCUGCUCGGAAAGUCGGAUGUGAAAGCCCUGGGCUCAACCGAGGAAGUGCAUUCGAAACUUCUGAGCUGGAGUGCUGGAGAGGAAGGCGGAAUUCUCGGUGUAGAGGUGAAAUUCGUAGAUAUCGAGAGGAACACCGGUGGCGAAGGCGGCCUUCUGGACAGUAACUGACGCUGAGACGCGAAAGCGUGGGGAGCAAACAGG